rnacentral:lncRNA from 1 species
AUCCCCCGAAAGCGGCGGCACGGUCGCUCCGCCGCCUCGGCAGGGGGCAGCCCCCCGGCUCCGCCGCCGCCCCCGGGCCGAGCGAGGGGCCGAGGGGCCGCCCUGGGGUCGGGGCUGCCGGGCGGGACCGGCCCCCUGACCCGCACGAGGCCGUGGAGCGGAGCGCGGCGCUGCCAGCGGGGGGCGGCGGGCGACGGGCGGCGGGCGGCAGCGCCCUGCGGAGCCUGCUGAGCGAGCGGCCGUACCCGCCGAGGCAGCCCCGCGCCCGGCCGCCCCGCACCACCCGCCGACCCGCGGCUGCGGCCCCGACUGCGCCGCCCUGCGCCCGGCUCCCCGCCACCGAGCCCGGGGAGCCGAGAGGCGUGCGGCGGGGCCGUCGGCCGAGCCCCACAGCGCAGCGGGAGCGGCCGCGGGGCCGGGCGGGGGGCGCCGAGCAGAGGCCGAGGAGCUGCGGAGCGCGAGGGUCCGGCGGUAGCGGCCGGAUGGCGCCGGGAGUCCGAUGGCACGGGGAGGCGGAGCGGGUCGCGGUCUCGGGGACAAACGAGGGGGCGAGAGGAGCGCGGCCGCGCCGCUGCCUCCACCCGGGAGCCGGCGCUGGGGAGGCGGAACCGGGGAGCGGAAUCCCCGCAUCGCCUCCCGCGGACUCGGUGCCGGCCGAGCCGGGACGUCCCGAAGCGCUCCCGGGAGGGGCAGCCCCGGCACCGUCGCCCCGCGCUCGGGAACCGCUGGCCGUGCCCCGGGGCGACAGCCUCUGCCAAAGCCGUAGGGUCUGUGUGCGGAAAGUGCCACGUGUGAGUGUGUCGGUGAGUUCUGCCGUUUAUGAGUGCUAGCGUGAACGUACAUUUUAAUUAAUACCUAAUUUGCUGCAUUUAUUUUAAUAAUUUGAGUAUCUUGAAGUAUUUGCACUGUUUUGCCAAAUGCUUGCAGUAGGCGCUUCAUAGCAAACACAAUAAUUAUUUGUAACUAAUUUAGCAUUUUCUCUGUACUUUGCAACUGGAUUUGAACUCUUUCUUGAUGAACAAGACAAGAAAUUGCACUUACCCUAACAGCACAAAAUUUUACGUGUCCUUCUUUAAAAAUGGUGUGAAAAUGUACACAAGAGCUUUAAUUCACCUUGUUCACCAAAGCAGCGGGUAGGUAACGUCUCAAUUUAUAGCUAAAUGUAGCUUCAACAACACAAUUUCUCUGAAAAAAAAAAAAAAAAAAAAAAAAAAAAAAGAAGAAGAAGAAGAAAGAAGUAUCUAAGAGAGAGGAGAGCUCUAACAGCAGCCUGUAAAAAUCCCCAGUCAUUCGGUGAACUGUAUCCAUUUUUACUUGUUAACUCAUACAUUCAAUGAGAUUCCUUGAAUAUGGACCUGGAGUGAACAAUUGCAUGGCCAUUAACCAUGCCAAACUGCUACAGAACAGACGUAAUUCCUUUUCUUCUAGGUUAUAUUUCCCUGUUGUAUUUCAGUUGCCUGAGUUUGAGCCAUGGUAUUUUGCCACACUGGGUGCUAUAUUCUAUGAAUGCAGCGAAUUGGCUGUCGCUUCAUUUUUUUGGUGCCAUAUAUAUAGGGAGCAGAGGUGCCUCAUUUUGCACGAACAGAACAUUACCCACAACCAGGAGUUGGUGUCCCAGCUGCAGUGCAGAGCAGUGCUCAGUGCCCACAAGCCGCUUCCACUUCUUUACCAACGUUUCUGAUUUUCUUCAAUACUGUGUGAAAUAAACAUAUGGGAACAACAGCAAAAGGUCAAAAUAUGAGAGCAGUGUGCAGCUACGUUUGGUGCACAUCGUGAUGGUGGCAUACAGAUUAAUAGUGGUUGUCAGUCCUUUUAAUACCUGUUUCACUUGGCUGUCAUUACAAUGAUUUCUAAACCAGUCAAGUCCAUGAAGGCGUAUUCUACCAGACAACAGUUUUGCACUUAUAAAGAGUCAAGAGAUAUCUGGACACGUGACCCCUCUCCUAGUAAUACGUUCAAAUAAAAAUUGUUAGUUGAAUAUAUGCUUUCCUGAAAGAAGUUUGAUUAUUACAGGGAGACAUACUGGCCUACAUGGUGGUUUGUCCUGAGCCAGAGCGCUCAGCCACAGGAGCGGCAGCUGUUCCCAGAAGGGAAGCAGGCAGUGUGCCGGGGUGGGUGGGUGCCUCACAGUGCUACUUGAGGAUGAGCUGCCAUGGAUCCAACAGUUCUGUUUGAACUAUGUUUGAAAUACAUAGCCAAAAGUUGAAGAUAGUGAAUGCUGUUAUUGCAGUUAAAAGUAACUUAAAAAAAAAAAAAUAGCUCAAGGCAUUGAUGGCUCACGUAACCGAUUUGGGAGGCAAACUGCUACCUCUAAAAAGGACAAACACCCUCAACAAAACAAAAGAGGUUUCUCACUUUUAUGAGGAGGCAAAGGCAGGGUAGGAUUAACUAUGUCCAUGUAGCAUCACUUUACUAAGGACGAAAAUAUUUCCUCAUAUUGAAAGGUAUUGCCGCUACCCUUGAUUCAGAUCAAGGUCUAAAUCCUGCAAUUGCUUGUUACUCUAAGCACAUGAGGAGGCCCCACAGGAACUAUUCACAUGUGAAAAGAGCUAGGACCAGAGCCAAAGUUUUGCAUACUGUGAAGGUCAAGCUUGCUUCCUUUGUAAGACUUGUACUUCAGAGAAAAACUCUCAGAAAUAUGGUUUCCAUACAGAAACUUCAGCUGAUUCUUCUUCUUCAGUUGUUGGGGAGGAUGCUGUAUGUGCGGUGGCUGAUUUACAGCGUUUUGUGUAAUUCUGGCCCCUGUGACUACGGUGCUGGCUGGCUCCAGGCACUGCCUUGCAGCUCUGGGAGCUGUCCCUGCCUUUCCCGGAUUGCUGUUUCUAUGUUUUCUCUUCACACUGACUUUUUGUAAACUUCUCAGAACAAAAGGAGAAAAGCCUCAUAGAUAUUAUACAACUGUUGGCUUUAGAGCUGUUAUAGAAUAACCUCGUAAUAAAAAUGCACUGGCCAUGCAAUGAAUUCUCAGCAUUUUUCCAAAGGUCAUACAAAAUAUAUUGCUUGAGCGGCCGUACUUUGGCCACUCAGAUAAGUCAUGGGGAGACCACAGCAGAUGACAGUCUCCAGGAAAUACUGUAAUUCACUUUUAUGUCUCUAUGAAGGAAAAUAAGAGACAAAGCCUUCCCCUGACUACUGGGGAGGGGGUAUAUGUGGAGACUGGCAUAGAGAACAAAAGGGAGCUACUUUUGCAAGUGUGACAGAUAAGGUUGGAGGUCUUUCUGCUGAAGGCCUUGCGUAGCUUUGCUUUGUUUCUUUUUGUUUCUCUUCAGAGCAACAGAAGAACGCAGAAAACAAAUUGUAGCUGCACUUUACUACAUCUUUUAACAGGAUUUUGCCUCAAUCCCAAGUUAUUUUCUGAGCACAUAUUUGAAAAUUAGUUUCCAUUUUCUCCAUUUUCCAUCAUCCUCAUUUACUGGAAAUGUAAAAUAAAUCUCACUUGGGAUCCCUGAGCAUGAGAACCGCUUUUACUUCUGCUUUUUGAUAUUACAUAUUCCCUAGUUUUACCUUUUGUAGGGGCAAUCCUUACCUGGGUUGCACAAUACUUCGUAAAUGACAGUUGAUACUCUAUCUGGACUUAACAUUGAAUACAGUUGUUCUUUUAGAGUUCCCUCCUUUGCAGUGAACUAUAAUUUAUAAUAGCCGAGCAACUUUUCUAAAAUAUUCGUAGAAAAACUAUUUUUGCUAAGAAACUUACAAAUCACUUUUUUUUUUCCCCACUCAGAUUCAUAAAUGCCUAAAAUGCAAGCUAGUUGAAAACCUAACUUCAGAGGAGCUGGAGCAGAACAGCUAUGAAACAUUCUGCUGCAAUCGUGUCUUUACACCACUGAAAAUAUUGCUAUCCAGUAUCAAAUGAAUACAGUAUAAAUUAGAAAUAUCAGACAUAUACAGCUACAGCCACAAAUCUAGAUGAACGACUGCCAAAUGGCAACAGUUUCAGCUGAGUUUUGCAUGCAGUUGAAGAACAAUAUUUGUCAUGAAGAUUUCAUCUAAGUCUUCCUUGAAGCAGAAUGAAUUCCAGACUCGAGACCUCAUCUAAAUCAAACUGGAAUCUGUAUUAAGCUCAGAGUACAUUUUCAUUGUGUUUAUGUUCUACUUAUUUUUUUUUUUUAUUUUUAUUUUGCUGGCUGAAAUUAGCAUGUAUGGAACACCAAGUGUAGGGGACUGAGCUGUAUUCUUCUCUCCAGGAUAGUAAGUAAGUAAAUGAAAAAAUAAAUGAAAGAAAACAAAUCACAGAGUGAAUCUACAUGACUAUGGUAUAUCUGCAUACUUUACAGUACUGCAGGUUUAUAGCUGAGUUUCUGCAGGAUUAUUUCCUUCUACCUACAACCCAAUAGACUAUGACAGUACUGAAAAUUUCCAAGGAACCAAAAUUGGUAGGCCAUGAUGAACAAAAGUCUGAGGCAAGCACACUGGCGGAGAAUCUGUGCAAAUAGUUCUUGCUGUGUACUGCUACAAAGUGCUUAAUAAUUCCCAUUCCAAAGAUUGCUGUAUAAUAGUAGCGAGUGAGGUUGUUCAAUUGGAAAAUGCUUGGGAUUGUUUUGGAAGACAGAGUUAUGCAGAAAUGCAUGGCACUGAGAUAUAGAUUCCUUUCCUUCAAUUUAUAUAACAAGAUGUUUCUUAUUAAGUUUUUCACAGGAUUAUGUAACACACCUUUCAAAACAAGAGCAUGAAGAGGUAUAUUGACAAGAAAAGCUAACAUUUCCCCUGGUCAUAACUGGAUGUCACAUUGAUGGUCAGGUUUGGAAACACCACCAGUCAGUAAUUAACAAACAGGAGCCUGCAUUCAGUUUGCCACAUGGGAACAGUGUAGAUUACUGUAUCACUCUUACCUGACUUUUGUUUGACCUCAUAGGACAUUAUGGUCUAUCAUUUAAGUCUUGGCUAUUACUCAUGGAUGCUAUAUCUGCCUGCUGAAAAUAUAGUUCUGCCAAACAAAAUCUGAAAUUGCAUUUAUGUGUGGUUUUUGUUUUUCAUCAAAACAUCACCUGUACUUCUGUGAAAUAUGCAUAAAAGUUAAAUCAUGAGAUACGUGCAGGCAGAAAAUUCCUAUUCAGAACAAAAAUCAUUAAUAAUAAUGAUAUAUAGCAAAUAAUUUUUCGAUGGUAACUUCCUCUUGUUUCUAGAGUUACUUUUGUAACUGCUGAACAAAUAUCUAUAUUUGUUAUCCUCCUGAAUGCAGAGAAAAGUGGGCUAUCAUUUACUCUUGCUAGAUGCUUUGAGCUCUCUCAGAGAGCAUGUGGUAAACUGAAUGCAGGCCCCUGUUUGUUGUUUACUGACUGGUGGUGUUUCCAAACCUGACCACUAAUGUGACAUCCAGUUACGACCAGGGGAAAUGUUAGCUUUCUCUAUGCCAGUUUAUGUGGAACAAAUCUAAUAUAAGAAGUUAAUAAAACUCACACUGUUAAAAUGCUUAUGAAGAUUAAAGACAUGCUUGUAAAAGGUUUUUGAGAUAGUGUAAAAAUACCAAUGGGUGGUUAUGGUCGGCAACUAUUAGAACUGGAAAGAAGACUUUAGAAUCUUAAUGAUAGAGAGAAUGUAAGUUAUAGGUACACCCAGUAAAGUGGCUGUGUGUUGAUCACAUUAGGGUGUUCUGUCUUACUGUGUCACAAAUUAAUACAAAAAGUGAUGUGCAGUAUCAAGCAGUAAAUAAUUUAGAGUGAUUUUUGUGUGGAAGUUUCCCAAUCAUCCCACAAAGAAUGCUCAGCAUUUUUUGAAAAUCAAGUGCCUUUAACAAUAUCAAGCAAGGGAUGCACUAGUGCUAUUCAUUUUUAACAUCAAAGCUUGUAUUUCUACUGGUUUAUCAGUUUUCCAUUUAAUAGAAGGAAGAAAGGCUUCUUGCAUAUGAAACUGCUGCAAAAUAUGUUUCCCCAAACAGUGUACAUUGAAUAAUAUUUUAACCCACUGCAAAACCAGUUUAAUUUAUUGAAAAUGUGAUUACCAUUAUUCAAAAAAAUAUGCAAGAUGUAAAUAAUUUAUUUAAUGAAGAAUUUGAGGUGAUUUUGUAUGGCUAUCUGCAGAUGGCUGCAUUUCUCAUAGCAGAAUCGCUAGAGGGAGUCAUAGGCAAUGAUACUCCUUCAGGAUCUCAAACAGGUUUGCAACUGAAAAAUUAGAAGAGGAUUUUAGGUAAUAUUUAGCAGAAAAAGAAUACCAGAUAAUUGUAAUCUCUGUAAUUUAAUUUCGCUCUCUAGUUACUGAUUAUUAAUGAAACUAGUUUGGUCUCAGAAGACACCUAUAGCAAAUCAUGAUUUUGCAUAAGAAACAACCACAACAAACCAGCAAGAUAGAUGUCCCACAUAAGAAUUUAAAUUAACAUAUUUUUCAGUUAGUAUUAACGUGGGUGCAGUGCUGAGAAUGUGCUCACAGGAAUUUUAGAGCAAAUAGCAAAAGAAAAAUCAAACAUGAAUAGAAAUCAGUUAAAAGUGUAUUUGUCAGUCAUUUUUACCAAGGUUUCUGCACCUUUGUCUAAUUAAGUUUAGCCUAGGGCCUCCUUUGCUUUUAUGUUUAAUAUGUAGAUUUCAGUGCAGUAGAACAAAACUAGUUUUAUUCAAGAUUUAUGUAGCAGUAGGACAAAAAGGCUCAUUGGGAAAUAUAUACAUAUAUUGAAUUUUUGCUGUCCUAAGUAAUUUCCACAUUGAAUCCAAGCUGUGGAUUCACAACAUUUCUCACAACUAGGAGAACUAGGAAAAGAAUAUGGUUCUCAUCCUUAAUCCUAGCAAGUUUUGAAUGCAAUGAAAUGAUAUGCUGAUCUACUGUGAUAUUUUGUAGAUAAAACAUUUGAUUUAUAAUAAGGCAAUCAUCAAAAAGAUAUAUAUCUGUAUAUAUAUAUAUAUAUAAAUAUAUUUUUUUUAACACAAGUUUUCCUAACGAAGUCUAUGACAUCAAGCUGCGUGGUGCAGUCAACACUCCUGAGAGAUGGGAUGCUAUCCAGGGAAACCUAGAGAAGCUUGAAUAGUGAGCCCAAGAGAGCCUUAUGAGGUUCAACAAAUCCAAGUUCAAGGUCUUCUACUUGGGUCUUGGCAACCCCCCACUAUCAAUACAAGCUGGGGAAUUAAAGGAUAGAGGACAGCCCAGCCCAGCCUUGUGAAAAGGACUUGGGACACUGGCCGAUGGUAAGCUGAACAUGAGCCAGCAAUGUGCGCUCACAGCCCAGAAAGCCAACCAUAUCCUGGGCUGCAUCAACAGCAGUGCGGUCAGCAGGGAAAGAGAGGUGACCCUGCCCUCUACUCUGCUCUGAUGUGACCUCACCUGGAGUGCUGUGUCCAGAUGAGGAGUCCUCUGUACAGGAGAGAUGUGGACCUGUUGGAGAACAACCAGAGGAGAGACACAAAAAUAAUCUAAGGUAUAGAACACCUCCCCUAUGAGGACUAGGAGAGCUGGGGCUGUUCAGCCUGGAGAAUAGAAGGCUCCGGGGAGACCUGAUAGUGGCCAUUCAGUAUAUAAAGGGAGCUAUAAGAAAGAAGGGGACAGAUUAUUUAACAGAGUCUGUUGUGACAGGACAAGGGGAAAUGGUUUCAAACUAAAAGAGGGGAGAUUUAAAUUGAAUAUAAGGAAAAAGUUUUUACAAUAGGAUUUGUGAAGCACUGGAACAGGUUGCCCAGAGAGGUUGUGAGUGUCCUGUUCUUGGAGACAUUCACGGUCAGGUUGGAUGGUGUUCUGAGCAACUUGAUAUAGCUGUAGAUCAGCCUGUUAUUUGCAGAGGAACUGGACUUGAUGACUUCUAAGGGUCUCUUCCAACUAAAAUGAUUCUAUGACUCUAUAAUUGGUAGCUACCAAUAUAGCCUGAAGAUCUUAAGUUAGCACUCAUCCAGUGAAAUUAGAGUGUGCUCCUUUUUGGAGUCUAAUAAUAAAUGCAGUUUAAAGUAACAAACAACUUUGUACUUGUGGUACUUCAUAACACUGAAGCACAGCUUGUUUCCAAAAGAUAGCUACUUACAUUAGCUACUUGUUUGAAAAGAAUAUGAGACAAAAAAUGUACUGGUGACAAUUUUCUUAAGUGUCGUAGGUAUACAGUUUAAAAAUAUGUGUAAUUAGCUGUACCCCAAUGGCAUUUAUGGCUGUGAUGCUUUUUUACAGACAUAAUCAUGGUAAUAAAAGCCCUAGGAGUUGAUCUGGUGCAAAAAGGAUUCAUCUGAACUCCUGAAUUUAAACUAUUUUUAAACUCAUGUUAAUCAAAGAUUUCUAUGCUUUCUUAUUUUAGCUGUAUCAGUAUACACUGCCAGACUCAAGCAACUUAUUUUAGCCUAAGCAUUUAAAUUUCAUAAAAUUUCUCUAAAAAUUAACUGGAAAAUAAAAACAGGUCUACAGAGUGCUAAGAUAGUGGUGUUCAGAGUAGUGCAAGUGGUGUUAAGAGCUGUUGGACAAAAAAAUAGAUAUCAAGACACUUCUCAGCUCCUGUAUUUGUGUUCAGUGGAUUAGAUCAGAGUUUUAAAUUUUAAUCCCAUAUAUGACAUGAGGCCAAUUCCUAGAGAGAAACCUUUUGCUUUUACUUUGGAUUAAAUGUUGCUGAGUUUUUCUCAUAUUCGUAGCUGUGUUAUUUGGAACUGUUUCACAGAAUCAUAGAAACAUAGAGUCGCUCAGGCUGGAAAAGACCAACUGCAACCUAACUGUACUACCCUAACUGAAAUGGGAAGGGAUCUCUGCAUCCAACUGGUCCAACUCCUGUUCCAGAAGGGCACUUAGAGCAUGCUGCCCAGGACCAUGUCUAGGUAGUGUUUGAAGGUCUCCAAGGUGGAGUCCCCACAACCUCUCUCUUUGCCCUCUCCCUUCAACUAUUUGUACACAGUGAUAAGAGCCUCUUCUCCAGGCUGAACAGUCUCAGCCUAAAGCGUAUGGAAUAUGACCAUAAUUUGAGAAGAGUAAUCUAACUGCCUAAAAAUGCAUAAGAUAAGCUCUGAUUCCAGCCCAACAAUGGAUCUUUGGUAUAACUUAGAAAAAAAAUGCAAUUUCUUCAGUUUUGAAUUUUAUAAUUAAGAAUAAAAAAUGAAAAUAGUCCAUAUUUACCAUUAUUUUCAUUUACCACCUUCACUGUUAAUGACUUUAUAUAUACAGCUCAACAGGAAAACCUCUAGCUACUCUAGGCAGCUGGGGUUUGUAAUUAUUACUCUAAUUAUUCAGAAUGCCUGUAUUUGAGUUUAGCUUCUGCCAUCAUGAUCAAUACUUUUGACUUGAUGGCCUUGUGAAAUUCUGAUAUUUGCAUUCUUUAUAUUUUUAGAGAAGACAGCAAUCAGAAAGAAAUCACUGUCAUGUUUUUGAUGGUUUUGUUUGUAUACAUUGAAGAAAUGUAAAGUCAGGACAAGGCAAACUAGGAGAAAGCUGCUCUUUCUUCAUAACAUUACCACUGAGUGACUUUAAUUGCUUUAACUAUAUAAAGAGAGAACUCAGACUUACAAGUUAUUGAAGCUUAACAAACAUAACUCAUCAGCUGACCUUAAGUAACUGACCAAGUCAUUCCCCUCUGCCCAUGGCAAAGGCCUGGUAAAAUAUGUUAGCUUAUCUUUAUAACACACUCCCAUGCUGCAGUUAGAAUGGCUUAGACCACACAGGUAGUAGUUGCCAUGGAUAAGCUUAUACUAUUCUUUAAAGCAUUGCUGUUACAGUCACUGGUGUGCCUGAGCCCCUGCUUAUAGCAAUAUAUUUCUGCUUGUAAAAUUCCCUCCACAGACAAGACCAGCUUUUGCUUUUAUCAUUAUUUCAAUCACUUUAGUGUAGAUCCAAUUACACAGGUAUAAGAGUGUUUCUACUGGCAUACCCUGGCAUCAGUACAACAGCAGUUAAACACAUAACUCUAGAAUCAGGAUAGAUGUGUGAAUAACAACAUCUGAUCAACAGCCAUGCUGACAAAAUUUAAACGAGAUCAAGCUUAAAUCUUAUCCACCUCUGACAAUGGCAAUGCAUGUUAUGUGCCAGGCUUACUGGGCAUGAGAGGACAGUAUGACCAGAAGCUGAUUCAGGAAAACUUCCCUCAUGCAUGUUUAAUGCAAGUCAGAGAUAUUCAUCCCUAGCUGUGCUGUAGACAGUGGUGUCCUAACCCAAAACCACAUGCAUGGCAGCAAUAAAUGCCAAAUUUAUGACUACCACCAGAGCAUAUACAUAUACAUUAUGGCAUUGUCUAUCUAUAACUAUAUACUGUUGUGUAUUACAUUUCCCAAUGAGCUCUGCAUUCUUUUGUUAUGUGAAACAGAGAAAUAGACUGUAGAUCACGUUAGAUACGGAUUUUCUGCUUACCAAAGCCAUGGGUCAAUACACUAGAAGGCAAAGGUGAAGUACUACUGUAGUCUUUUUCCACUUUCGCUUCUAUACAUUUCCUUGCAAUGUGUUGUAAAUGAAGAGCAGAGGCCAUGAUCUGUAUUAGACCUGAACUAAAACUGUCUCACUUUGGUCUAUGAAAAAAAAAAUCUCAGCUUGUAAUCUGUACUGCCAUGUAAUUCAGGUCAUAUUCUAUCCAUAGUUAAACAAAAUGCUUUACCUGAACUGAAAAUAAAGUAUGCAUUGCUGCUGAUAUAUCUGCCAAAUUUAAAACAUGAUAUUAACUAAAGUCGACAGCAUAAGCCACUCAAACAAGCCCUGAGGGAGUCCAAAAUGCUCCUUAAUAUUUAUUUUUCAUAUUUGAUUGCAGGUUAUGCACAGGUAAGUGUAGUACUACCCUGAGGGUUUUAAGUGUAACGUAGUCAACCAUGAUAAUACCUUCAGUAUCUCAGAAGACAGUUCUCACAAUGACUAAUAUGAAAUGAAAGCGAAGCUGAGUGUUUUUCAGACUAGUGUUAAGUUUCCUCUACAGUUAUUUUAGUAGGUUUCCGAAAUGCUUUUGGUGUUUGCCUGUGAGUAAGAGAAAAACAAAUACUUUCCUAUAUCUAUCACAGUAUUUUCCAGCACUCAAAGAACCCUAACAUUAACUUGCUUUUAUAGCCCUGUAAUACACGAGAAAUCACUAUCCUCAUGAUCUUCCACUACUUCCUGUAAAAAUUUAGACUGGUGUUUCCCUGUCAUUUACUCAGAAAUGAAUCACUAACAGUUAGCACAUAUGCAUGUAGUAGUGACAAAAGAAAAUGAGCUGGAAUUAGUCUACUUCAGGUGUUCCCGUCCAUUUUAACCUCUCACAAUGGUAAAACAUGGAAGAGAUAGUCACAAAAAUACCAUGUUUUUAAAGAUAUUUUUCUAAAUCUUAAUUAUUUAAAAAGUAAAAUGUAAUAUCAUAACACAUUUAAAUAUAUUCAUACACAUUAGACAGACAUUGAAAAACAGUUAUGUCCCAGAAGAAAACAGUCUUCAGGUCAACCCUACCAGCUCUGGCUGCUCUAAGUUGCUCAACUGCUUCAAACAGACCUACUUCUGGCUUAACAGUGAGCGAAUUUCAAGCAGAUUUGUAUUGUUAGGAUAGCACAGAACACUAAAAAGUAUUACCUAAUUUUAUCUCUAAUAAGACAAAAAAAUGAAAAAGAAGGUAAAGGACAAAGUUAAGCCUAGGCUUCUUACAUAGUUUUUUGGUAGGAGUUAUACUUGCAUAAUGGGAUCAACAAAAAUUAAUAGGCUGAAUCUUGCCCCUUUACUCCACACUACUGAGGCCUCACCUGGAGUACUGCAUCCAGAUGUGGAUUCCUCAAUACAGGAGAGAGACAGACCUGUUGGAGUGCAUCCAGAAAAGGGCCACAAAAGUGAUCCAAGGGAUGGAAUACCUCUCCUAUGAGCACAGACUGAGAGAGCUGGGGCUGUUCAGCCUGGAAAAGAGAAGACUGUGAAGUGGCCUGAUAACAGAAUUUCAGUAUCUAAAGUGGAGAUACAGAAUAGAAGGGGACAGACUUUUUAGCAGAGUCUGUGAUGACAGAAGUAGGGGAAAUGGCUUCAAGCUCAAAGAUUUAGGUUGGAUAUAAGGAAAAAAGUCUUUUACAGUGAGAGUGCUGAGGCACUGGAACAGGUUACCUAGAGAUGUGCUUGACGCCCCAUCCCUGGAGACUUUCAAGGCAAGGCUGGAUAAGGCCCUUGGUAUCCUGAACUAUCUGUGGUGUUUCUGUUCAUUGCAGGGGAGUUGGACUAGAUGGCUCUCAGAGGUUCCUUCCAACUGUAAGGAUUCUAUGAUUGUAUAAAUGAAGAAAUACAGUACCCAAUGCUAUAUUUUGAAUUUCUGCCCCUCUCAAAGUCUUAGUAUCAACAGAACGUCUUACCUUCUGUAUUUCCAGAAUUACAGUUCAAGAAGUAAGAUAGUAUACACAAGAAAGGAGGGAUGAGGCUCUCCUGGCUUUCUGUAAGCAUCUCUGGUGUUAGAGCAUACCCACAGGUUACAGGAGACCAGAUUCUGUUCUCACCCAGCUGCUGGUGGGAUGGAGUAGUUGCUUUUGUGUGGAGUUUAGAAGAUGUACUCCUACUGUUAAUUUAAUUUAAAUUCUGGAUGAUAGGAAAAAAGUUUUCCUCUGUCAUUUCUCUAACACCAGUAGCUUUAGAGGAAGCCAAGUUCUACCAGAAAACAUGAGAUAAAUGUAAUUCUGGUGACUGGAGUUAUGAUUUCUGUACUAAGUUUGUCUUAGAAGACAAGUGAAAAGAUGCUUUAUCACAGUUCAGCUUUAAAUUUUGAAGGCUUUGUCUUGUGAAACUAGGAUAUUUCACCAAAAUGCAGUUCCUUUCCUUUUAUCAUCUUCAGAGAUGAGUUAAUGGAUUAGUAUUUUUGUUAAUAUAAUUAUUACAAACAUAAAACUUAAUCUGGGCAUAAAUAAUAAAGUUUUGUUACUGAUUUUAUUUUAUUUUAUUGAGUAAUCCUCUCAAGUAUGUUUUUAAAAGAACAAGAUGCAUAAUGGAAAGCACUUUAAACAGAUUACGUCCAAAAUUUGAAACAAAAAAGUAUUGAAGUGUUUCAAGAUUACUCUUGCAUUCAUUGCUUACGAAAAAUCUGAAAUUUUACUCUUGCUUUUUUUUUUUUUUUUUAACUUUUUCAUCUUAUACAAGCAGAAUGCAUGCAGGCAUGCAUGAGAAUUAAUGUUGCAGGUUUCUGUGGUAUAAAGUUAUUCACAGCAAGGGACUUCAGUGACACUGUACCAAACUGAAAAAAAAAAAAAAAAAAAAAAGGACUAAAGUGGUUUGUUCUGCCACCAGGGCCCCUGAAAUGUACUUACAACCUUUUUUGUACUAUAGUAGUAACAUUUUUAAUUUAUGUUGCACAAGAAGCAAGUUAAAAUCUUACUUCCUUUACUUUUUUCUCCUCCUCUAGCUUGUCUUAUUGGUUACCAGCUUUGCACAGCAUUUCUUUCUUUAUUCUUAGAACUAUUUGCAAUAACAUUUUUAUAUACCACCCUGUAAGUAAGGUUAUGGAAGUGGUUGAAUGCUGCUAAUGAGAACUUUGGUCCUCAUUGUUCUUCUGACCACUAGUUUGAAGAAGCACAUAGUGUUAGGUAGGAUCCUACAGAGGGGACAUAAGCUUCUAGUUUUUCAUAUUUUACAUUUUUUUCUUGAAAUUGUUCUAGCUUUUCCCUUAAUAAGCUCCAACUUUUAUAAGGCUCUGCUUUUCUUUCUUAGCCUGUACUGUUGCAACUAAAGAGGAUGAUGCCAUUAUCCUAACCCAACUUACUUCACCAUCGUCUAACAGAUCAUGCAGUUACUGCACAGAUCAGUGCAGUACAGUGCAGUGAUCCCUGAAGCUUCAUCAAAGCAAUUGGAUGCUGGACAGGUUACUUCUGCCUUUCAAACUGGGCUAAUAUGAUCAUAUUCAGCCACACUAACCUGAUUAUAUCACUUUUAGACUUUAUGUCUGCAUUUCUGCACACUGCUGCAUUAUGGCAUACAGGCCCAUCUCCUUACUUGGUGACUUGUCUUAGCUUUCCAGGCUGUGAAAACUUACUGCAUUCCAGCGUUAAAUUUAUAGCGACCUUGUUUUGUAACAGUCUGCUACAGUACAACCCCUUUUCUGCUCUUUUUGCCCUGCCAUCAUGGCUGAAUCAAAUCUUGCACUAAUAUUUCCCCUUUAUAUUUUAUUAAAGUUAUUAAAAAUGUUUUUGCCCUAUGAGAAUGGCAAUGAAAUCUAGCCUGGCAAAGAGUGGUGCAUCCAAAUGUUUCCCAUAAUAAAACCAGUAAUUGCUAGUGAGUUGCAAGUCUCAGUCUAGAGUAGUAAAUAAGGAUUCUUUUUUCAUGAUUUAUACAGUCAAUCCCUAUCAAGUGCUGUCUGCACGCAUCAGAGGCAAAUAUCUGCAAACAAAUCGUGUAAUAGGGCAUACUUCUACUCUGUACCAACCCCAAAAUGCAUUACUGCACUAUUUACACACUGGGAAGUACAAAGCAUUUCACAGAAUUAAUUUCCUCUCUUUCAUGAGAGAGAUAUAAUGCAUUAACUGAUUUGAAAACAGAGUGAGUUUCUUUUAUAAUGUGGUCACUCACUAGGCAGGCUUUCCACAGGGUACAGGAGCUACAGUAAACAAUCACUUAAACAGAAGGAAGCUCUUCAGUGCCCUGCUAUGCUGAUGUUUCUAGAAAAAGAAAACAAAACAAACCAAUGAAACAAACAACAACAAAAAAAGCACCACAGAAACCAAACUAACACUUCAUUGCAUGUUGAAAAGAAAGCGUAAGCACUCUGCUUAGAAAGCUUUAAAGCAUAAUUGAAAUUCAACAUGCAGAUUUCUGUAUUAUUACAUUGCUGUGUGCAUUAGAUUAUUUGCUGAGCAACCAGCAUUUUAAACAUCACAUUUUAAGAACUUUGUGCUAGUACAACAAGAAAUGCAGAAAAAUUAGGAUGACAGCAGAAGUAUGCUCAGGCACACAAUGAUUCUUCAGCUGAAAAGGGAACAAACAGUGCAGUGCUAGCCUAUGUACUGUGAGAAACAUUUCUCCCUCCAUGUGCAGAUGGAGCACAGAUCACUGGUAUGCUGACAAGCAAAACUCAAAACAAAGAGGUAAGCUACAUAUGUAAUGGCAGGUAAGCUCACUGAUCUUUUUAACCCAAUGAACAUCUGAUGUGAUGUGAGAUUCACUAAAUUAUAUAUUGCAAAUCAAGGUCAGAAUGAAGGGUGACUCAGAAUUCUGUAACAGUCUCUCUGCUUCACUGUAUGAAAAUGGUCACGAAUUCCAGGAUAUUUUUUCCUAUUUUAAUCUGAUUUCAAUUGGAACAUGUACUUGACUACUGAACUAAUUGUACCUAAACACAAACGUGCAAGAAGUAGAAGGAAAAUAAUUUAAAUAUAUAUAUAUAUAUAUAUAUGUUAUUGUUGUUCUUACAUAAUGCUGAUGCUGCUGAGCACACAGGCCAGUACCUCCACACAGAAUGAAGGUAUCAUGUUCACUGCUAAGAGGGCCAAGAUGUUAAAUUGGCAAUGUAACGCUUUUGGCUAACCCUUCUUUUUACUCACUACUGUCACAGCAAAGAGCUGUAGUGGUAUGAGAUUGCAUGUGACUGAAGCCUUCUUGCUGCUUUGGAAGAUGGAUGGCACUCACAGAGCCAUCCAAAGCCACAGUGCACAGGAGAAUUUGAUCCACUGUGCAAAGUGUUAGCCAUGCCAAAUAAAAUUAUUAGCAAAACUAUCAGACCGCUAACCUAACCGCUAAAAAUGUGGUCCUGACUGUUGAAUGUGUGUGUUAGAUAUACAGUACAGAACUACAUUUAUUGAGAUUGUAAGACACAUUUUUUUUUUUUUACUCAGAGUAAGUCAUAUUAAAGAAAAGUAUGCACAGAGGAACAGUGUGUGAACAAGAGUACUUACACACACGGAUGUGUGAUAAACUCAUUGAGGUUUUUACCAUUCAGGACAUCCUGCAGGAUUCUCUGUCACUAUUAGCACUCAAUGAAAUGCCUGUUCUCUGAAUCAGUCCUCCAUUUAUCUACUAAAUCCUUCUAUUACAUCCAACCUAAAGAACUAUUUGCAAGUGGAAAAUAUAAUCUAUACAUUGAAAAGAGGAAUACAUUAUCUCUUUAAUAAGGACUUGAAAGAAAAUGUGAUCUUGGAUUAUAGCUGUAUUUGCCUAUAACUGUAGAUCAUUAGUAAGGCAGACAGUGAAAAUAAAAGAUUCCCUGGCAACCCUCCCCCUCUUCAAAUGCCUGCUCAAGCAGAAAAAAACAACCGCCCUGCAUACAUAUUCCAAUGAGCCACUGUGGGGCAGUAACAACAAAAACAUUCCUAAGCAAAACAAGGGGGUUUGAACAGCCAGUUUGCCUUUUCCGAGCAGAGGAUACAUAGAAACAGUCCUUUUUCUAUUAUAAAACGUUAUUAGGCUUUUUGGGAAGCAUUUUAUAGAUAUGCUUAGCUUCAGCUCUUUCCAGAACGAUGCCUGCACUGAGCUACUCUGAAGCUCUGUUACUCAUUUUUAGAGCUGUGAAUAGAGGCUGUAUGUGAGGUAUACAAGACAGUUUAAAACACUAUCUGGAUUUUUUGUGUGUGCAUAAACUCCUCUACCUGAGGGCUAAGUAAAUAAGUUCUUCUUGAGAGAUUAUUCUCUGUGCAGGAAUUUUUUGUUGUAAAGCAUAGAAACCUCUGAAGAUUAGAUAUUUUUGUGCAGUCUUUGUUCCUCCCAGGGCAAAAUCUUGAGCGAACAGAAGUUAUUAUAAAAAAUCUUCUAUAUCUUAGGGUAAAAUAAUAUAUUUUGUUCAGUUUUGGAUGCAACUUAAAACCAGAAUUGCUGGGCUGCUUUGGAUCCAUCACUUCACUUUUCUAGGUUCAAAAUAAGAUUAACAGUUUUGUCUUCUAUCUCAAGCAUUCUGUAGGUUUAAAAAUAUCAGCGAAAUAUGAAGAAAUUAGCUGUUUUUUCUUUUUAAAUAGUACCAACAGUGUCUGUUUGAAUAUCUCCAAUUGCAGUCUGAGCCUUGUAUAAAUAUGAUUUCCUGUAAUAUUCAUUGCAUAUAGGCAUUGCUCCUUAGACCUACUGAAAGUUGUACCAGAUGAGUAGUAUAUGCUGAAAUGUAUAGUCUGUAAAAAGAAGUAUCACACUUCGACUGAAGUGUUAGAAAAAAAAAAAGGAUCAAAUCAUACAGACAUCUGAAUUACAGCCAUGUAUCUUCAGUUACUCUUUGAAGAUGAUUUUCAUUUUGAUCUUAAAUCUUACUCGCAAGUAAUUAACAUUUGGGGAUGCCUGACAGAUGGUACCACCUUGUCUUUUGGGGGAGUCUCUUCUUGUCUUGACUUUUCCAGAUAUAUUCCAGACCUAAAAUAAUUUUUGGGGAAAAGGAUAAAUGAACUUACUUUGGUUUGCAGACAGUAACCAGAAAAAGCAGGAAGUUUCUUAUAAUAUUUAAAGAUACUUCCAACUUUAAGUUCUUCAUUUAUUAGAUCUGUAGGAUUUAACUCUGUAACAACACUCUGUUUUUACAAACAUGAGGCUAUAAAUUUCAUGCUAGUACCAUAAGCAUUACUCCAAGUACUUCUCUUUAUAUAUUCCAGCUAAUAAAUAAUAACGUCAAUGCUAUUGGUAGUCCAGGAUAUGAAAUAUGUUGUUUUCGUUCCAUCUACAUGAAGAUCCCUUACUGAUAUUCCCUGGGUUUCCAGCAUUCAUAACUCUCAUGUUUAUCUGUACAGUUUUCCUUGUUUGCUUUACUUUUUUCAUCAAAUGGAAACACUGAAAUUUUAUGAAAGAAAUGGUUUAGAAGUUUUAUUUUAAUAUUUCAUGGUCUAAACAGCCAGCUGAAUUUUCAAUUGAAGCCUUCAAGGCUUCAUUAAGCAUCAUCCCCAAAUUUUAUUGUCCCCUCAGUUUUCUAAGAUAAUUCCUCUGAUGUUCAUGACUUUUCUUUAAGUACUUUUUUUUUUUUUUUUUGAACUCUAGAGACAACGUUUUUGCUUCACAGAAAGAAAGGAAACAAACAACAAAAACAUAGAAAGAUGGUAAUACUUAUUCACUCCCACAUACCCUGAAGAAUCAAGACAGUAAUGAGAAGACACUGUAUUUAACCACUGUACUGACAGAAGAAUCAGUGAGUUUCAUAGCAGAAUAUUUAGUCUGAGGUAUGUGAAAAUAGUAACUGUAGUCACAUUUUUAAUUAUACUUCACGAGACAUCUUGGCUAUUCUAGUAUUAGAGAUAACAAAGCACUAAGCAUACCAAGAAAAGUUCAGUGUGCUUUUCACGUUCCAAGAUCAGUUUGAAGAUCUGCCAGUUACAAAAACAGUCUUUCUGCCUCUAUGAUACCUAACAAUUUGUGCACAUAGUAGCAUGAUUCCAUUACAAAAGGCAGAUUUGUCCUGUAAAUGGGCACUUGGAGAUGAAGAAAUUAGUCAAUCAGAAAAACAGGGGAAAAUAUUAGUAGAGUUUGCAGCGAUUUGAUUUACAUACUUUCACUUUUAAUAGACCUCUGUAUUAGCCCUUUGCUAAACUACUAGCCAGCCUUUCCUGUAACAGGCUGUUGUACAUUACAGAGGCACAGCCGAAGAAUCAAACUGAUAUUUUAGAGCCCUGAAUGUUACCACAUUAAUAGACUACAACUUGAUUUAUUUUUAUUUGAGAUCUGAGGUUCACUUUUUCAUUCUUUUGCCUCCAAACAUAGAUAUUCUUACUCAAAGACAGCCCUUCAAAUGUUCACAUAACUGUCCACUUGUGCUCUGAGGGGAAAGAGAAAGUAAAUCAAGAACGCCUUCCUUAGAAAAACUGAAGAUUAAAUCUCAGUCUCAGUUGAGUUCCUACAUCUUCCACUGCUUUACACUCUAUGGGCUGCAAGUCUGUUCUGAGGCACAGGUACCCCAAAUGUACAUUUUACAUAAAUUAAAGAACCACUGUGGAAAUUACAUGAAGUGCUGGAGAAUAUAAUCCUUUCUGAGUUGUCUGACACACUCCAGAAACAGAUCUCUGCGGGAAACACUGAUUAUAUAUACCAGGUUUAAAAGCAGAACUAACAGUUAAAAGCUUGUUGAACAACGCAAUGAUACUGUAUUUCUUAACUUGGAAAGGUGUUCAUCCAUCCUGCUCAGCCAGGAUGUUCAUCCGGCCCGUUUACCAUUUAUGAGACAUUGUGUUAGCAUUGAAUUAGCUUAUAGAUUGUUUUAAUAUGACUUGAAGCAGUAGGGUGUAUAAUUGUUUGAAUGUUCCUUUCCACUGACUGCACAGCAUUACUUCUUUCUGCACCUGAGAAAGCUUUUUCCUCCACCUGAACACUUAACGAGCAAAUUUCCAGACAUUCAGAAGCAAAUGCAAACAAUUUAGAACAGACCUUGUUCCUGCGAUUAAGGCCAAAAAAGAAACUACUCAAAGGAGCCCAUACAGCUAUGUUUUGUAACAUUUUCUCUUUUCUGUGGCACUUGUUAUUAUUUUCUUCAGCAAGGCACUGUGGCACAAGACACCCUUCCUUAUCCUGUUCUCUGGAGAGAAAAGUAGUUCUGCAGUCUCUGUACUGCAAGUUCUGUGUGAAUACAAAAUGUAUGAAGACUCAGUGAAAUGAGCAAUUUCGGUUCCAUUUAAUAUUCUUUAGGCUGCUGUUAUUUUCUGCAACAUUUUUUUAAGUUCUGUGUCAUGUUGUUGAAAUUGUGAGUUAAAUUUGCCACUAAUUAACAAGAGGACUUUACCAAUGAAACCCUGCUUUGGAAAUCCCUAUGACUGUGCUUUAAAUUGCUUGCAUACAUGCACUCUAUAGUGUAUUUGCAUCAAUGACAGCAUGUGAUAAAUAGCAUUAUGUGAGUUAAUUAAUGACUGCAUAGCAUAUUCAGAUCAUAAGCAGUCAAAAGCAUUACAAUGAUGUUUUUUACAUCUGCUAAAAUUUUUAUAAGCCAGAAAUAAAAGACUGAGUAAAGGUGGCCAUGUGGGUUGGCAAUUAAUUGGAAAAUCACCAAAGAUUACAUAGUGAGUGAAGCACUUACUGAAAAAAAACAAAAAUGAGAAAAUGCAGCCAUUUGGGAUAUCUGUUAUUAAACCUUCAAACAAAUGUAACCAUGUCCUUUAAAAAAAAUACAAUUUUGUAUACUGCAUUAGUUUGCAAUGAAUAUGACAUGUAGUGCAUGAGAAAGUACUCCUUGGUCAGUACAGGACAUAGCAAAAUGCCUAGCACAUUAAAGCUUGUGUGUGAAAUGUGUAUGGAUACCAAGUUGACCAGUGAGAUGACAAAAUAUUUAUGUUAUUCUAAAUAUAAAAUGUCAUACACUUGUAUCUACAUUCUCUUCCUUGGACAAUCUAGUUACUUGUAUUCUCUUCAUUAUACAGUGAAGUAAUUUACUAAGUCAUGAGUCUGUGUCAAUUAUAUUUAGAUUUAACAGAAGUUCUAGAAACUGGACAGAUAAAUGACAUUACAAGACCAGGUGAAGUAAUUAUCAAUCAUGGUAAUUACAGGUGUUUUAUUAUGUUUAAGUUUAUGACCUAGUAAGGCUUGCAACAGUCCUGGAAGAGAAAUAAUAUGAUAGAUGUCUUACAUAUGGGUAGAUAAAAAAAGUUUGAAGUAAGCUGAUCAGGGUCUCUGUAUCUGAUCCUUACAUUUAGGUCAUACUUCCAGCUAUGACAUCACAUAUGAUAAAAGUAUUCAAGCUAAGCAAAUCCUAUUAUUUAUUAAAGAGUCUCUCAGUAUAACCUUCUCUUUCCAAAGUUAGGAGGAAAAAUUGUAUCAGAUUCAUAAUAACUUCAGAUUAACUUCAAAAUAACUUUAAGCUCAAGGAGGGAAGGUUUAGUUUAGAUGUCAGGGGUAAGUUCUUCACAGAGAGAGUGAUGUGGUGCUGGAACAGGCUGCCCAGAGAGGCUGUGGAUGUCCCAUCCCUAGAGUUGUUCAAGACCAGGUUGGAUGGGGCCCUGGGCAACCGGGAGGUUGGUGGCUCUGUGUGUGGCAGGGGGGUUGGAACUUGAUGAUCACUGGGGUCCCUUCCAACCCAAACCAUUCAAUAAUUCUAUGAUUCUAUGAUUCAGGUAGAUGUCCAUCACUGCUGAGUUCUAUGAUCACUGACAAUACAGGUUUGCAGCAGUGACAAAUGUCAGAAGUGUCAUAAGAAUUGCCACAUUUUGGCCAGAUUGUAAACUUUGUAACAAAGCAGACUUUUGGGGGGAUUGAGGCACUGGAGAGGGAAUGGAGUUAUGCAUUAAAGUUGGCAACUGGCCAACUGUAAGCUUUAUUUUGUGCUAUUUGCUAAGCAAUAAGGAUACGUUACACAUGAGCAACUAAUUACCUAUUACUGUCCACUUAGUAACGCUGUAGUACACAGUUCUCAAAUAAUACUGAUACCUCAUUUUGGUAGGAUUGUCAUGAAAGAGAGAUCUUGUCCUCUUGUAAGAAUUUGCAAGGGAAACAGACCAGGAACAGGAUGGGAAAGAGGCUUAGAGUGACGUUUGAAUCAGACAGGAGAGAAAGAGAGAGAGCAAGAACUGAUAACACAAUUCAUGCCUCUAGGCUUCAACUAGUACCUCAAAUACUGUGUUACUUAUCCAAGACAUUACUGUGAGCUUUGUUACUGUAAACACACCAUAUAGUUACAACUGUUUAUAAGUGCAUGACAGCAUUGGGGAUCCAUUUCCUCUAAUACUUAACACUGAAAAAAAGCCUAGGAGAGGUUUCAGAAACAUAUCAUUGACACAAGGGAACAGAUAUCAAAAAAAGGCUUGGAAAUGAUUUAUUGAAAAAUAUAGUUCUUGCCAACGGAUCUAGACAGCUGAAUUGUAGAAGCAGCUAUGCUUUUAUUAAAAUAACAUAAAAUAAGAGGUAUACGUGGUUCUGGAGUCCCUCAAAGGUCCCUUCAUCUUCAUCAGCCUCCCUUCUCAUGGAAGGAGCACUGAGAUCUCCAAAUCACACAAACCAGCCACAUCUUCUCCUCCCCCCAGUCUAAUACAGGUCUGCUUAUUGCUAACACACCACUAUCUCUGUUAAAAAAAAUCUGCUCAAACUCCAUUACAGAGAGGGAUCUUAAAAGAUAAUAGCAACGAGGAGUUUGUUUGUAUCGGUUGUUACCACAGAGUGUUUGUUGAGGCAGGACAGGCUACAAAUGCCUGACAUAAACACACACGAAUGGAUUUCUCAGAGGUUGGCCUAGAUCAGCUAAAGAUAAACCACUAAUUGUAUUAAACUUUUUUUUUUUUUUUGACAUGUACCCUAAAAAAAUUCCAUAAAUAUGGACAUUGCUUGAAUUCUUCAUGACUAAUAAUAUUAAAGAAUGAGAAACAGACAGUAUUUCACAACAAAAUAUGAUUUCCAUUAUGAUUGGUGGUAGAUUUUUU